rnacentral:tRNA from 1 species
ACGCCGUUGGUGAAAUGGUUAUCAUGCUUGCCUUCCACAGAGGUGCUUACUAAGCAUUUGCUGAGAGCAAGCGGCGGGGGUUCGAUUCCCUCACGGCGUA